UGCCAAAAUCUGAUCGGGUGGUGUUUAUCCAUGCACCCCUUGGCCAGACCCUCAUGAGAAGUGGUGUUCAGUCAUCCUUGGAUGCAGGAUAUUCCUCUGCCCUAGAAGAAGGGAGAAAGCCACAGGCACACUUAGAUCCAGGGCCCUGGGAAGGAGAAGGAGCCCCUGGAGAAGCUGUACUGGGUGGGGCUGCUGCUGCAGGAGACAGCGAGGAUGACAUGAAGGAUGACAACCUCUUCCUCAACCUGGCCACCAGCAGUUGAAGAGGAAGCAUUCUAGGUGGUCCAGUCUGGAUUGGCAAGUGCUUGGGACCAGCUGCAGCGUGGAUGGGCCGUGCCCUUGGAGCAGGCUGAGG